rnacentral:lncRNA from 1 species
UCCACUCUUAAAUAAGUAGCCCUUCAGACAUUCCCCACCCCCUCCUCCACACGUCCAUUAGGCAGAGGCAUUCUGAUAAAGUAAAUCCAAAACCAGGGUAUGGGAAAGAAAAAAAGCACUCACGCUGCCAACUUCUGAUUGACCAUUAAGCUAUUGAUGAAUGUGCCUGUCAGGAGAGAGACAAUUAAAUCAAAUAUGAAACAAAGUCGUUUUGACGGGUCAUUUUGAUAGAGCAAAACCAUUCUUCCAGCUCCUAUUAGUCCUGCAGUCAAGUUUUUAUAUAAUGAACAUUUCUUAACUGACCUGAGAUUUCCUGGCUGGCAUUUUUUAAAGGUGCAAAAAGGUUAGUGAACAGGUUGCUUUAAAAAAAAAUAAAACCAACAGCAUACUUCCUCCUCCUCCUCUAAUAUUUUUAGCAGAAAGUUAUCAAAUACGAGUCUCAGAUUGGCAAGGUGGAAGAGAAAGAUGAAGCAACGGCGGAGAGGGCUCUAAACCAAAUGUAAAGAUGUGAUCACAUAUGGUUCAUUUGAUUGAGGCAGAGAGAUACCUUCAAAUGUACAUCCAAAAAGGAAAGGAAAAAAAAAAUUUCAAAGACUGGAAGCAGCCCAAGACACUCCUACUGUCCAACUUUGUAAAGGAGUCCUCCAAACUUUGAGAGUUUAUUUUGAGUAGAUAAGCUCAUUGCUUGAGCUUG